rnacentral:rRNA from 1 species
UACAGAGGGGGGCAAGCGUUUGUUCGGAAUUACUGGGCGUAAAGGGCGCGUAGGCGGCCUGUUAAGUCGAACGUGAAAUCCCCCGGGCUCAACCCGGGAACUGCGUCCGAUACUGGCAGGCUUGAAUCCGGGAGAGGGAUGCGGAAUUCCAGGUGUAGCGGUGAAAUGCGUAGAUAUCUGGAGGAACACCGGUGGCGAAGGCGGCAUCCUGGACCGGCAUUGACGCUGAGGCG